UCUAAGUAUAAACGAUUUAAUCGUGAAACCGCGAAUGGCUCAUUAUAACAGCUAUAAUUUACUUGAUCUUGACACAAUCCUACUUGGAUAACUGUGGUAAUUCUAGAGCUAAUACAUGCAUUAAAGCUCUGACCUCACGGGAAGAGUGCAUUUAUUAGAACAAAACCAAGCGGCUUCGGCUGUUUCUGGUUGACUCAUAGUAACUGAGCUGAUCGCAUGGUCUUGCACCGGCGACGUGUCUUUCAAGUAUCUGCCGUAUCAACUUUCGAUGGUAGUGUAUCUGACUACCAUGGUGAUCACGCGUAACGGAGAAUAAGGGUUCGGCUCCGGAGAGUUCGCCUGAGAAAUCGCGAACACAUCUAAGGAAGGCAGCAGGCGCGAAAAUUACCCACUCUCAGCACGAGGAGGUAGUGACGAAAAAUAACGAGACCGUUCUCUUAUGAGGCCGGUCAUCGGAAUGGGUACAAU
rnacentral:rRNA from 1 species